rnacentral:misc_RNA from 1 species
UUUCCGUAGGUGAACCUGCGGAAGGAUCAUUACAGUGUUCUCUGCCCUCACGGGUAGAAACACCCACCCUUGUAUAUUAUAUCUUUGUUGCUUUGGCAGGCCGCCCUCGGGCACCGGCUCCGGCUGGAUCGCGCCUGCCAGAGGAAACCCAAACUCUGAAUGUUAGUGUCGUCUGAGUACUAUCUAAUAGUUAAAACUUUCAACAACGGAUCUCUUGGUUCUG